rnacentral:rRNA from 1 species
ACUCCUACGGGAGGCAGCAGUAAGGAAUAUUGGACAAUGGGCGCAAGCCUGAUCCAGCCAUCCCGCGUGCAGGAAGACAGCCCUAUGGGUUUUAAACUGCUUUUAGAAGGGAAGAAACGCCUACAUUUAUGGUGGGUUUGACGGUACCUUUCAGAUAAGCACCGGCUAAACUCCGUGCCAGCGANCCGCGGUAAUACGGAGGGUGCGAGCGUUAUCCGGAAUUACUGGGUUUAAAGGGUGCGUAGGCGGGCGAUUAAGUCAGAGGUGAAAGCUUUCAGCUUAACUGAGAAAUUGCCUUUGAUACUGAUUGUCUUGAAAUAUGUUGAGGUUAGCAGAAUGUGGCAUGUAGCGGUGAAAUGCAUAGAUAUGCCAUAGAAUACCAAUUGCGAAGGCAGCUAACUGGGCAUUAUUUGACGCUGAGGCACGAAAGCGUGGGGAGCGAACAGGAUUAGAUACCCUGGUAGCUACG